rnacentral:rRNA from 1 species
UACGUAGGGGGCAAGCGUUGUCCGGAAUCAUUGGGCGUAAAGAGCGUGUAGGCGGCUCGAUAAGUCUGCUGUGAAAGUCCAGGGCUCAACCCUGGAAGGCCGGUGGAAACUGUCGGGCUAGAGUCCGGAAGAGGCGAGUGGAAUUCCCGGUGUAGCGGUGGACUGCGUAGAGAUCCGGAAGAACACCGGUGGCGAAGGCGGCCUGCUGGGCUAUGGCUGACACUGAGGCGCGACAGCGUGGGGAGCAAACAGG